rnacentral:rRNA from 1 species
AGAGUUUGAUCCUGGCUCAGGAUGAACGCUAGCUACAGGCUUAACACAUGCAAGUCGAGGGGCAGCAUUUCAGUUUGCUUGCAAACUGGAGAUGGCGACCGGCGCACGGGUGAGUAACACGUAUCCAACCUGCCGAUAACUCGGGGAUAGCCUUUCGAAAGAAAGAUUAAUACCCGAUGGUAUAAUCAGACCGCAUGGUCUUGUUAUUAAAGAAUUUCGGUUAUCGAUGGGGAUGCGUUCCAUUAGGCAGUUGGUGAGGUAACGGCUCACCAAACCUUCGAUGGAUAGGGGUUCUGAGAGGAAGGUCCCCCACAUUGGAACUGAGACACGGUCCAAACUCCUACGGGAGGCAGCAGUGAGGAAUAUUGGUCAAUGGACGAGAGUCUGAACCAGCCAAGUAGCGUGAAGGAUGACUGCCCUAUGGGUUGUAAACUUCUUUUAUAAAGGAAUAAAGUCGGGUAUGCAUACCCGUUUGCAUGUACUUUAUGAAUAAGGAUCGGCUAACUCCGUGCCAGCAGCCGCGGUAAUACGGAGGAUCCGAGCGUUAUCCGGAUUUAUUGGGUUUAAAGGGAGCGUAGAUGGAUGUUUAAGUCAGUUGUGAAAGUUUGCGGCUCAACCGUAAAAUUGCAGUUGAUACUGGAUGUCUUGAGUGCAGUUGAGGCAGGCGGAAUUCGUGGUGUAGCGGUGAAAUGCUUAGAUAUCACGAAGAACUCCGAUUGCGAAGGCAGCCUGCUAAGCUGCAACUGACAUUGAGGCUCGAAAGUGUGGGUAUCAAACAGGAUUAGAUACCCUGGUAGUCCACACGGUAAACGAUGAAUACUCGCUGUUUGCGAUAUACGGCAAGCGGCCAAGCGAAAGCGUUAAGUAUUCCACCUGGGGAGUACGCCGGCAACGGUGAAACU